UACGGGGGGGGCAAGCGUUGUUCGGAAUUACUGGGCGUAAAGGGCUCGUAGGUGGCCAACUAAGUCAGACGUGAAAUCCCUCGGCUUAACCGGGGAACUGCGUCUGAUACUGGAUGGCUUGAGUUUGGGAGAGGGAUGCGGAAUUCCAGGUGUAGCGGUGAAAUGCGUAGAUAUCUGGAGGAACACCGGUGGCGGAGGCGGCAUCCUGGACCAACACUGACACUGAGGAGCGAAAGCCAGGGGAGCAAACGGG
rnacentral:rRNA from 1 species